rnacentral:pre_miRNA from 1 species
UUUAAUUUUUAAUUAUUUGUCUUAUUUAAACAAAUUUUGCGAUUAAUAUUUUUAUUUUUAUUAGAUGAUAAAUUAUGAAUAGUACUUUACGUGUGACUAAUUUUUUUCUAAUUUUCUGAAAAUUUUUCAAAUAAGACGGAUGAUCAAACAUUGGACACGGAAA